rnacentral:lncRNA from 13 species
CCUCUCAUUUAUUUCUCUAUUGUUUUACAUCAGUUCCGAUAUUAAGAUCGCCACAUUUUUUGUUUAAAUUAGAGCAACUGAAUUUCGUUGCUUGUUCUAUUUUAGAUUCACUGAAUUAAAUCACGGAACUUAAUUACCGUAAAUCGCGUUUCUCUAACCCGGAAGAAAUUUCAGAUUUCGGUUAGUUUAGAAUCAAGAAUGAUGGAAUUACAAAAUCCAAUUAUCGUAAAUCUUGUUUUUUAGUCGGCCGCGGAAGAAUUUCAGACUCCAUUUGGUCUCGAGACAGGCGAUCGAUCUAUGUGGGACUAUAAAUUUUGUUUUCCGCGCUGGCCAGAGAGGAAUUUAUGCUCGUCGCCCAGCUUUUAAUGGUCACUAGCUGUGAGGCUACUUCGAUGAUCGCAAGCACGAGCGGCGCAUGGUACCGCCGUCUCGAUUAGGCGAAAUGGCUUUGAGAGAAUUCACGGCAUGUGGCGCAAUAUUGCCACGUGUAGAUCACGCCGUGCCAGGUCGAAGAAGGCGGAGGUGGCGGCCAGGUUGUCGAGUGGUGGUUUAAUAUACGCUAUGAAAGACGCGUACUGUAUAUUACACACGUACAUACACACGUUUUACAUGUAAAACGAUACCAUACUUUAUACCA